rnacentral:lncRNA from 1 species
UUUUAAUGCAACCUAACUUUUUGAAAGAAUGUGUAAAAUAGGUUGGAUUUUCUAUUUUACUAAAGCCUUACAGAAGCACCUCUGAGACUCAAUCAGUGAAACAAACCCAAGGCCACGCUGGCAUUUAGUGAAGAAAGAGUGAAAGAGGAAUUGGAAUGGUUACCUUGGAGAUCAUGGAGAAGGUUCCCCAUCCUUCAAGCCUGAAACUGCGUUCACCAGCUAUGAAAGCUUAAGGAGUGCAGCAGACAUUAUUGCUUUCACAAUGUGAACUUGCUAGGGACUUCAAUAGUAAGU